rnacentral:rRNA from 1 species
AAGACCUUUGCGCUUUUGGAGCGGCCGAUGUCUGAUUAGCUAGUUGGUGGGGUAAUGGCCUACCAAAGCUUCGAUCAGUAGCUGGUCUGAGAGGACGGCCAGCCACACUGGGACUGAGACACGGCCCAGACUCCUACGGGAGGCAGCAGUGGGGAAUUUUGGACAAUGGGCGCAAGCCUGAUCCAGCCAUGCCGCGUGAGUGAAGAAGGCCUUCGGGUUGUAAAGCUCUUUCAGCCGGGAAGAAAAGGUUGCGAUUAAUAAUCGCAAUUGAUGACGGUACCGGAAGAAGAAGCACCGGCUAACUACGUGCCAGCAGCCGCGGUAAUACGUAGGGUGCGAGCGUUAAUCGGAAUUACUGGGCGUAAAGGGUGCGCAGGCGGUUUUGUAAGUCAGAUGUGAAAUCCCCGGGCUUAACCUGGGAACU